CCCUUAGAUGUUCUGGGCCGCACGCGCGCUACACUGAUGAAUACAACGAGCUCUACCCUUGACCGAAAGGCCCGGGUAAACUUGUGAAACUUCAUCGUGAUGGGGAUAGAUUAUUGCAAUUAUUAAUCUUCAACGAGGAAUUCCUAGUAAGCGCGAGUCAUCAGCUCGCGUUGAUUACGUCCCUGCCCUUUGUACACACCGCCUGUCGCUCCUACCGAUUGAAUGGUCCGGUGAAAUCUUCGGAUUGCUGACCAAGAUCCAGCAAUGGAGCUUGGUUGCGAGAAGUUGAUUAAACCUUAUUAUUUAGAGGAAGGAGAAGUCGUAACA
rnacentral:rRNA from 1 species